GGCCACUCGUCAGGAGAGAGUUGCCGCCCCAGCGGCGGCCGCCGAAGGCGCAGGGCCCAACCGCCCGAACGCUCAGGCAAAAGGACUGACAGGAACGC
rnacentral:ncRNA from 2 species